rnacentral:rRNA from 1 species
AACGAACGCUGGCGGCGCGCCUAACACAUGCAAGUCGAGCGAUUAAAGCUCCUUCGGGAGUAUAUAAAGCGGCGGACGGGUGAGUAAGGCAUAGACAACCUGCCCUAAAGAGGGGGAUAGCUUGGAGAAAUUCGGGUUAUACCGCGUAAGCUGUUUGAGUGAAUAUCAACCAGUAAAGGCUUCGGCCGCUUUGGGAUGGGUCUAUGUUAGAUUAGAUAGUUGGUGGGGUAAUGGCCUACCAAGUCGACGAUCUAUAGCUGGUCUGAGAGGAUGAUCAGUCACACUGGAACUGAGACACGGUCCAGACUCCUACGGGAGGCAGCAGUGAGGAAUUUUGCGCAAUGGGCGAAAGCCUGACGCAGCGACGCCGCGUGGAGGACGAAGUCUCUCGAGAUGUAAACUCCUGUCAGUGGGGAUGAUAAUGACAGUACCCACAGAGGAAGCACCGGCUAACUCCGUGCCAGCAGCCGCGGUAAGACGGAGGGUGCAAGCGUUGUUCGGAAUUACUGGGCGUAAAGCGUACGUAGGCGGCGGAUUAAGUCGAAUGUUAAAGCCUACAGCUUAACUGUAGAACUGCCGUUGAUACUGAUAGUCUUGAGUUUGGUUGAGGUAGGCGGAAUGUGUCAUGUAGCGGUGAAAUGCUUAGAUAUGACACAGAACACCGAUUGCGAAGGCAGCUUACUAAACCAAUACUGACGCUGAGGCACGAAAGCGUGGGGGAGCGAACAGGAUUAGAUACCCUGGUAGUCCACGCCGUAAACGAUGAAUACUCGCUGUUAGCAAUACACAGUUAGCGGCUAAGCGAAAGCAUUAAGUAUUCCACCUGGGGAGUACGAUCGCAAGAUUGAAACUCAAAGGAAUUGACGGGGGCCCGCACAAGCGGAGGAACAUGUGGUUUAAUUCGAUGAUACGCGAGGAACCUUACCUGGGCUUAAAUGUAGUUUGAUUUUAUUGGAAACGAUUUCCCUUCGGGGCAAAUUACAAGGUGCUGCAUGGUUGUCGUCAGCUCGUGCCGUGAGGUGUCGGGUUAAGUCCCAUAACGAGCGCAACCCUUAUCCUUAGUUGCCAGCGGGUCAUGCCGGGGACUCUAAGGAGACUGCCAGUGUAAACUGUGAGGAAGGUGGGGAUGACGUCAAAUCAGCACGGCCCUUAUGUCCAGGGCUACACACGUGUUACAAUGGCCGAUACAAAGGGCAGCUACCAGGUGACUGGAUGCUAAUCUCUAAAGUCGGUCUCAGUUCGGAUCGAAGUCUGCAACUCGACUUCGUGAAGUUGGAUUCGCUAGUAAUCGUAUAUCAGCAAUGAUACGGUGAAUACGUUCCCGGGCCUUGUACACACCGCCCGUCAAACCAUGGAAGUUGGGGGUACCUGAAGUCUGUCACCGUAAGGAGCGGCCUAGGGUAAAACUGAUAACUGGUGUU